GCGGGGGAUAACAUUCGGAAACGGGUGCUAAUACCGCAUAAUUUCUUCUUCCGCAUGGAAGAAGAUUGAAAGACGGCUCUGCUGUCACUUAUAGAUGACCUUGCGGUGCAUUAGUUUGUUGGUGGGGUAAUGGCCUACCAAGACGAUGAUGCAUAGCCGACCUGAGAGGGUGAUCGGCCACAUUGGGACUGAGACACGGCCCAAACUCCUACGGGAGGCAGCAGUAGGGAAUCUUCCGCAAUGGGCGAAAGCCUGACGGAGCAAUGCCGCGUGAGUGAAGAAGGCCUUCGGGUCGUAAAACUCUGUUUUAAGAGAAGAACAAAUUGUUGAGUAACUGCUACAGUCUUGACGGUAUCUUAUCAGAAAGCCACGGCUAACUACGUGCCAGCAGCCGCGGUAAUACGUAGGUGGCNAGCGUUGUCCGGAUUUAUUGGGCGUAAAGGGAGCGCAGGUGGUUUCU
rnacentral:rRNA from 1 species